GUGGAGACCAGAGUCUUGCUAUGCUUUCCAGGCUGGUUUUGAACUCCUAGCCUCAAGCGAUUUUCCUGCCUCAGCUUCCCAAAGUGCUGGGAUUACAGGCACAAGCCACUGCACCCGGCCCUGUUGUUGUUAAGAAAAUUACAAGUUAAAUCUUGUACCAGUGAACAAGAUUAGGGAUCGUGAUGUGGAGCUGCACUUCCUGGUUCCAAAUCCUGGCUCUUCCCCUCAUCCCUGGGUAAGUUGAGGGAUGAGAGCAAGAGAAGGUUGAUCCUGACUCAGAUCUCUGCAUGGGGCAUGUCACUGAUGACGGCGGCAUUCCCUGAGAGAGGGAACACUAAGUUUGAAGUUGGGCAUAGUGAGCACUAUUUUGGAUGAGUUAAGUUUAGAAGUGCCUGAAGACAUCCAAGUGGAAGAAGUGGCUGCAUGGACUGAAGAUACAGACUGGGAAACGUUAACACCAUCAAGGAACUGGAGUCCUGGGCACAGCCCUUCAAGACAGAGGAGAUUAUGGGGCUACUGAACGUAUCUUGGACUUUAGAGAAAGAAAGUGAAGCUGAGCUGAGAUCCAUUGGUUCUAUUUUGGAAAGAUGCACCCCGUGGCAUGACCUUCACAGCUCAGUUCUGGGGUCAAAGGAAUUUUCCAUUGCUCACACUGCCACCCAACUCUGGGGGCAUAAGUGUGGAAGUGGUACAGCACACAUGGAGAAGGGAUGGGAGGAGCAGGGGUGUGUAUCAGCUUAGCCGAUCCCCCGAGGAGCUGCCAAGCUUGCUACCCCAAGAACAAUGCCUCAUAGCUCUGUGACCUCUUCAAGAUUAAGGCUCUUUGAUCUCAGCCCUUCUGAAGUGGUUUGAACCAUAUUCUAUACAAAAUUGGUAACUCCCCCAUAAGAAUUGCUUUUUAAAUAUCCUGCUCUAUUUGAAAAAGGAAUUUUAAAAAUAAAGUUUACCCUUUUACUCUCUCCCAGCAAGUGAGAUAUUCAAAACAACAAAAAUUCCUCUAACAUGUUAUGAUGUGGAAACUGGUAUUUUACUGAUUUGUCUUUUCCACUUGGCUUCAAGUUCUUUGGGGAAUGAAGAUCAUAUCAAUCCCUAGCCGACCGCUUCAGGCACAACUGCAAAUGUUUCUUGAAUGAACUUCCAGGCUUACCUGAAUUCUAAGGGGGAUUUCCACCAUAAUGGGAAAGCCACAAGAAAACCAGCAAAGGGUUUAAAAAAAAAAGGGUGAAAAUAUAAGUUAUUUAUCGGGGGUUAUCACUUUAUGCAGAGAGCAUUCGAAACAAUGAUUUCCACAAAUGGGCAGCAACAGUAACAGCCAUACUAAGCCAUUGCUUUCUUUACUUCCUCUUGGUCUAGAAUAUGCUGCAAAGGGAGAAGAAGGAAGACGUGUGGUAUGGAAUCACCUAUGGAUAAGGUUGAGAACCAUGGGCUAGAUGCUAUGGAGACCAACGUAUCACUUACUAGGCUUUACUUUGUGCCAGGCACUGGAUUCGGCAUUACCCCAUUUAAGCCUCACUACCAUCCUUCAUGUUACUAUUCCACGUUGCCGCUCAGGAGAAACAAAAUUUUUUUAUUAAAUUCAAGUAACCUGAGGUCCCAUAUUUAGUAAGAGGCAGAGGAGUUAGAUGUGUCAAUAGCUAAAUUACAUGGCUGUGUCCUCUAGCUGGCCAGGGACUGACAACAUCAGUAUCACCUGGUGACUCUCCCAGGGGAGAUGUUUUUAAAAAUCUUUUCCAGUAAUUCUGUGCAACAUGGCAAUCUGAAACCAGUCUUUCAGACCUGGAAGUUCUUUAGAGACCACAGGACUCUCUUUGAUAUUUUUUCUUUUGAAUUUUUUUAAAAUACAGAAUCCUUUUUCAUGUUCUCUGUUUAUAAAACAACUGCAUGUCAAUUACAUUAUUUUUUAGAAGAUAGGUACAAGAGCCAGGCGUGGUGGCUCAUGGCUGUAAUCACAACACUUUGGGAGGUCGAGGCAGGUGGAUCAUUUGAGGCUGGAAGUUCGAGACCAGCCUGGCCAACAUGGCAAAACCUGUCUCUACUAAAAAUAUAAAAAAUUAGCCUGGAGUAGUGGUGCAUGUCCCAGCUACUCGGGAGGCUGAGGCAUGAAAAUCGCUUGAACCCGGGAGGUGCAGGUUGCAGUGAGCCAAGAUCGCACCACUGCACUCCAGCCUGGGCAACAGAGCAAGACUGUGUCUUGACAGCAACAAAAAAAGAAGAUAGGUAUAGGAAUUAAAAAGAAAGCAAAUAAUUACUGGUAGCCUGACCACUAAGAGAUAUAUACUGAUAUUUUUUUUGCGGGGGGUGCAUCUCCUUGCAGGCCUUUUUGUAUGUUUAUGUUCAAACACAUUUGUAACAACAAUGAAUAAAAAACGCAUAAUAUUCAAUGACUUUUUAUU
rnacentral:lncRNA from 1 species